GACGAAGGGGGCUAGCGUUGUUCGGAAUUACUGGGCGUAAAGCGCGUGUAGGCGGUUGCCCAAGUCGGGUGUGAAAGCCUUGAGCUCAACUCAAGAAAUGCACUCGGUACUGGGUGACUAGAGGACCGGAGAGGAUAGUGGAAUUCCCAGUGUAGUGGUGAAAUACGUAGAGAUUGGGAAGAACACCAGUGGCGAAGGCGGCUAUCUGGACGGUUUCUGACGCUAAGGCACGAAAGCGUGGGGAGCAAACAGG
rnacentral:rRNA from 1 species